AUUGAACGCUGGCGGCAGGCCUAACACAUGCAAGUCGAACGAGUGGCGGACGGGUGAGUAAUGUCUGGGAAACUGCCUGAUGGAGGGGGAUCACUACUGGAAACGGUAGCUAAUACCGCAUACCAUCGGAUGUGCCCAGAUGGGAUUGGCUAGUAGGUGGGGUAACGGCUCACCGAGGCGCCGAUCCCUAGCUGGUCUGAGAGGAUGACCAGCCACACUGGAACUGAGACACGGUCCAGAAUCCUACGUGAGGCAGCAGGGGGGAAUAGUGGACAAUUGGCUAAAGCCUGAUGCAGCCAUGCCGCGUGUAUGAAGAAGGCCUUCGGGUUGUAAAGUACUUUCAGCGGGGAGGCGUUACCCGCAGAAGAAGCACCGGCUAACUCCGUGCCAGCCGCCGCGGUAAUUC
rnacentral:rRNA from 1 species